rnacentral:lncRNA from 1 species
AUCCCUGUAUAGGUACAGGUCAUAGGGAGAUACUCUCGUGAGGCCUGUGAGUGUCUAGGGUUGUCCUGGGUGCCUGGGGCUGACUGUGGCAGAAAUCUGGGGAAGGCUGGAGAGAAGCUGGGAGACCCAGGAGAGUCCCUGAAGGCAGGGGGUGAAGAGGUGAAAGAAAUGGGGGAGGGUUGCAGUAAGGUCCGUGAGUUUGUAGGUGAUUCCUGGGUGCGGGAAGCUGACUCCAGGUGAAAUCUGGAGAUGGUUGGAGAGUAGCUGAGAGAGACAGAAGAGUACCUGAGGGCUGGGGGUGAGAACAUGAGGGAGACUGGGGAGUAAGUCAGUGAAAUUCGUGAGUUCGGGGGUGUAUCGUGGUUGCCUGGAAC